rnacentral:rRNA from 1 species
CACGUAGGCACCAAGCGUUGUCCGGAUUUAUUGGGCGUAAAGAGCUCGUAGGCGGUUCAGUAAGUCGGGUGUGAAAACUCUGGGCUCAACCCAGAGAGGCCACCCGAUACUGCUGUGACUUGAGUACGGUAGGGGAGUGGGGAAUUCCCGGUGUAGCGGUGAAAUGCGCAGAUAUCGGGAGGAACACCUAUGGCGAAGGCAGCUCGCUGGGACGUUACUGACGCUGAGACGCGAAAGCGUGGGGAGCAAACAGG